UACAGAGGGGGCAAGCGUUGUUCGGAAUUACUGGGCGUAAAGGGCGCGUAGGCGGCCUGUUAAGUCGAACGUGAAAUCCCCGGGCUCAACCCGGGAACUGCGUCCGAAACUGGCAGGCUUGAAUCCGGGAGAGGGAUGUGGAAUUCCAGGUGUAGCGGUGAAAUGCGUAGAUAUCAGGAAGAACACCCGUGGCUAAGGCGGCUCUCUAGUACGGUACUGACGCUGAGACGCGAAAGCGUGGGGAGCAAACAGG
rnacentral:rRNA from 1 species